rnacentral:rRNA from 1 species
CUUGCCUACGGGAGGCAGCAGUGAGGAAUAUUGGUCAAUGGACGCAAGUCUGAACCAGCCAUGCCGCGUGCAGGAAGACGGCUCUAUGAGUUGUAAACUGCUUUUGUACGAGGGUAAACGCAGAUACGUGUAUCUGUCUGAAAGUAUCGUACGAAUAAGGAUCGGCUAACUCCGUGCCAGCAGCCGCGGUAAUACGGAGGAUUCAAGCGUUAUCCGGAUUUAUUGGGUUUAAAGGGUGCGUAGGCGGACGGAUACGUUAGAGGUGAAAUACCGAGGAUCAACUUCGGAAUUGCGUCUG